rnacentral:rRNA from 1 species
GACGAACGCUGGCGGCGUGCUUAACACAUGCAAGUCGAACGGAAAGGCCCUGCUUUUGUGGGGUGCUCGAGUGGCGAACGGGUGAGUAACACGUGAGUAACCUGCCCUUGACUUUGGGAUAACUUCUGGAAACUGGGGCUAAUACCGGAUAGGAGCUCCUGCUGCAUGGUGGGGGUUGGAAAGUUUCGGCGGUUGGGGAUGGACUCGCGGCUUAUCAGCUUGUUGGUGGGGUAGUGGCUUACCAAGGCAUUGACGGGUAGCCGGCCUGAGAGGGUGACCGGCCACAUUGGGACUGAGAUACGGCCCAGACUCCUACGGGAGGCAGCAGUGGGGAAUAUUGCACAAUGGGAGGAAGCCUGAUGCAGCAACGCCGCGUGCGGUAUGACGGCCUUCGGGUUGUAAACCGCUUUCGCCUGUGACGAAGCGUGAGUGACGGUAAUGGGUAAAGAAGCACCGGCUAACUCCGUG